GACGAACGCUGGCGGCGUGCUUAACACAUGCAAGUCGAACGCAGUGGCGAACGGGUGAGUAACGCGUAAUCAACCUGCCCUUCAGAGGGGGACAACAGUUGGACACGACUGCUAAUACCGCAUACUGAAGGAGGGGAUUGCGUCUGAUUAGCUAGUUGGAGGGGUAACGGCCCACCAAGGCGAUGAUCAGUAGCCGGGACGAGAAGUGGGACGGCCACAUUGGGACUGAGACACGGCCCAGACUCCUACGGGAGGCAGCAGUGGGGAAUCUGCCGCAAUGGACAAAAGUCUGGCGGAGCAACGCCGCGUGAGUGAUGACGGCCUGCGGGUUGUAAAGCUCUGUUAAUCGGGACGCGGUACCGGAAUAGAAAGCCACGGCUAACUACGUGCCAGCCGCCGCGGUAAUUC
rnacentral:rRNA from 1 species